rnacentral:lncRNA from 1 species
AAGAAAUUUCCCCCCAAAAGCUAUCAGCACCAUCUCUCCCAAAUCCCAAUCCUUCACCACUCUAACCAACCAUCCUUGAAGGCUUGAACCCUCGUCCCUUGUCCUCCUCAUGUAAAACAUAACCAUCAAGGUAUGGCCAACCUAGUCUUUCUUUUGUUUCUCUUCUUAAUUUCGAUUGUUGCCAUUACUUUUCCUAGGAUUCUUGAUUGGAAAUAGUUCUUUUCAGUUUCUUCAUUACAGUGUGGCACUAAAAUGUCAAUUUUAUUAUGAAUGGAGGAGCUUUUUCGUAUAUUUUAAUUUAUAUAUUUGCAUGUUUAAUAUGUUUAAAUUAGUUUGUUGUAUGAAAUGUGAUUUAGUAGUUCAUCUUGAUUUCUGUAAUACUAAGUCCGGACAAGCCUUUUUUCCUAUAAUUUCUUGUAUAUUGUUUAUUCUUCAUUACCUCCAUUUGUAGAUUAGGGAUCUUAAAUGACUUUUUGGGUUGUGCACAGUUUACAGUUAUAUGGACACAAAAAAAAUCAUACUAAUAAUUUUUCUCUAUUAGAGUAGGUACUGUUCACAGUUGUAGUGGUUAAUAUCUAUGUGAAUAUUUGCAGAGAGCAAAUGAGUUGGUGAGGCACAAUUUUCACCCAAACUUGAUGAUCAGUUGAGUGGAUAUAGGGUGAGUAUCUGCAUUCAUUUGAUGUGCAACUUACUAAAUAAAUAGUCAUAUGAAAAUGCAUCUUUGCUUUCUAUAUAAUUUUUUGUACUUAUUGUGGCAGCUAGCAAUGAAGGAAGCAUGCAAAUAGGUGAAGAAGAGUUACUUUCUAUAUAUUUUUGGUACUUCUUGUGGCAGCUAGCAAUGUAGG